rnacentral:pre_miRNA from 1 species
ACUGCUUCCAGGGUGACUGUGAGGAUGGUAGACCGGUGACGUACACUUCAUUUAAGAUGUAGGUCACCUGUUUAGCUAUCCACCAGCACCCAGACCGUCUG